rnacentral:rRNA from 1 species
ACGCUCGACACCUACUGGAGGCAGCAGUGGGGAAUAUUGCACAAUGGGGGAAACCCUGAUGCAGCGACGCCGCGUGAAGGAAGAAGUAUUUCGGUAUGUAAACUUCUAUCAGCAGGGAAGAAAAUGACGGUACCUGAGUAAGAAGCACCGGCUAAAUACGUGCCAGCAGCCGCGGUAAUCUGAGCGGGCUGGCAAGGC